UUAUUGGAGAGUUUGAUCCUGGCUCAGGAUGAACGCUGGCGGCGUGCCUAAUACAUGCAAGCGAGCGAAUGGAUUGAGAGCUGCUCUCAGCUCGAUUCGCCUAUAUGAUUU
rnacentral:ncRNA from 1 species